GACGAACGCUGGCGGCGUGCUUAACACAUGCAAGUCGAACGGAAAGGCCCUGCUUGCCGGGUACUCGAGUGGCGAACGGGUGAGUAACACGUGGGUGAUCUGCCCUGCACUUCGGGAUAAGCCUGGGAAACUGGGUCUAAUACCGGAUAGGAGCCAUUUUUAGUGUGAUGGUUGGAAAGUUUUUUCGGUGUAGGAUGAGCUCGCGGCCUAUCAGCUUGUUGGUGGGGUAAUGGCCUACCAAGGCGGCGACGGGUAGCCGGCCUGAGAGGGUGGACGGCCACAGUGGGACUGAGAGACGGCCCAGACGCCGACGGGAGGCAGCAGUGGGGAAUAUUGCACAAUGGGCGCAAGCCGGAUGCAGCGACGCCGCGGGGGGGAUGACGGCCUUCGGGUUGUAAACUCCUUUCGCUAGGGACGAAGCUUUUUGUGACGGUACCUAGAUAAGAAGCACCGGCUAACUACGUG
rnacentral:rRNA from 1 species